GGAAGUCAUCCGGCUGGAUGAGGGCCCUGUCUUGAAAACAGGUGGUGCUGCAAAGUGCUUGUGGGUUCGAGUCCCACGGCUUCCG
rnacentral:tRNA from 1 species